UCCGCCGGGGGCUCGCGUUGUUCGGAAUUACUGGGCGUAAAGGGCGCGUAGGCUGUGCUGUAAGUCAGGCGUGAAAUCCCCGGGCUCAACCUGGGAAUUGCGCAUGAUACUGCGGCGCUGGAAGACGGGAGAGGGUGGCGGAAUUCCCAGUGUAGAGGUGAAAUUCGUAGAUAGUGGGAAGAACACCGGUGGCGAAGGCGGCCAUCUGGCCCGUAUUUGACGCUGAGGCGCGAAAGCGUGGGGAGCAAACAGG
rnacentral:rRNA from 1 species